ACAGGACUUCCAGCCGUGACCGGUGUCUAAGUUCUUUGGUGGCACCAGAAUGUCAGAACAUCCCUGCGAGGCAACAACAAAGUCCACAACGCUGCUUACUCUGCGGGGAAGGAUGAAGCUCCAGUUCAAAGGCCACCUUUGCUGACCCGGUCCUUCCAAGACCUUCAGAAACCCUGAGUCCAUUGUGCCUGGCAGCAACACACAGAUGAUGAGAAGGCAAAACCCAUGACUUCCGCUGGGGAACAUCCAUUUGGCGGCUGCUUUCGGAUGUCAGCGGUUAGCGUUGAGUCUCCGGCACCGAGGAGACCGAAGUAACCCAGCAGAAGGAGCGUUACGAGAGGCAGUCACAACAAGGAAGGGUGAUGGAGAAGGAGCCGAGCCUCAAAGCAGAAGCCGGCGGCAAGACGAGCACCUGGAAACGCCCUGCCGAGAGGGAGAGAGAAGUGUGUGCCUGAGCCGGACCUCCCUCUUCCUCCCAGGUCCCUCCUUGCCCCCCCCCCCCAAGGAAGCCCAAUAGGAUGGCAGGAGAGACAGCUUGCCAGCAAGCCCCUUGCUAGAGCUUUUUGCCCAAGGGGGCACCCUGGGAAAGAUCAGCACCGGACGAGGAGUCCCCUUCCCACCUCCUCCGACUGGAUGUUCCCUUCAUGGUCCGAAGCCAUGGAGCGCAAGGAGAGAAUGGCAAACACUAA